GACGAACGCUGGCGGCGUGCUUAACACAUGCAAGUCGAACGGUAAGGCCCUUCGGGGUACACGAGUGGCGAACGGGUGAGUAACACGUGGGUGACCUGCCCUGCACUUCGGGAUAAGCCUGGGAAACUGGGUCUAAUACCGGAUAGGACCCUGGGAUGCAUGUCCUGGGGUGGAAAGCUUUUGCGGUGUGGGAUGGGCCGGCGGCCUAUCGGCUUGUGGGUGGGGUGAUGGCCUACCAAGGCGACGACGGGUAGCCGGGCUGAGGGGGUGACCGGCGACACUGGGAGUGAGAGACGGCCCAGACUCCUACGGGAGGCAGCAGUGGGGAAUAUUGCACAAUGGGCGCAAGCCUGAUGCAGCGACGCCGCGUGAGGGAUGACGGCCUUCGGGUUGUAAACCUCUUUCAGCACCGACGAAGCGCAAGUGACGGUAGGUGCAGAAGAAGGACCGGCCAACUACGUGCCAGCAGCCGCAGUAA
rnacentral:rRNA from 1 species